rnacentral:rRNA from 1 species
AGUGAACGCUGGCGGUAGGCCUAACACAUGCAAGUCGAACGGCAGCACAGUAAGAGCUUGCUCUUACGGGUGGCGAGUGGCGGACGGGUGAGGAAUACAUCGGAAUCUACUUUUUCGUGGGGGAUAACGUAGGGAAACUUACGCUAAUACCGCAUACGACCUACGGGUGAAAGCAGGGGAUCUUCGGACCUUGCGCGAUUGAAUGAGCCGAUGUCGGAUUAGCUAGUUGGCGGGGUAAAGGCCCACCAAGGCGACGAUCCGUAGCUGGUCUGAGAGGAUGAUCAGCCACACUGGAACUGAGACACGGUCCAGACUCCUACGGGAGGCAGCAGUGGGGAAUAUUGGACAAUGGGCGCAAGCCUGACCCAGCCAUACCGCGUGGGUGAAGAAGGCCUUCGGGUUGUAAAGCCCUUUUGUUGGGAAAAAAAAGAAGCAGGUUAAUACCCCGCGGUUCUGACGGUACCCAAAGAAUAAGCACCGGCUAACUUCGUG